rnacentral:rRNA from 1 species
GUAAGGUGAUAUGAACCGUUAUAACCGGCGAUACCCGAAUGGGGAAACCCAGUGUGACUCGUCACACUAUCAUUAACUGAAUCCAUAGGUUAAUGAGGCGAACCGGGGGAACUGAAACAUCUAAGUACCCCGAGGAAAAGAAAUCAACCGAGAUUCCCCCAGUAGCGGCGAGCGAACGGGGAGGAGCCCAGAGCCUGAAUCAGCAUGUGUGUUAGUGGAAGCGUCUGGAAAGGCGCGCGAUACAGGGUGACAGCCCCGUACACAAAAGCGCAUGUGCUGUGAGCUCGAUGAGUAGGGCGGGACACGUGGUAUCCUGUCUGAAUAUGGGGGGACCAUCCUCCAAGGCUAAAUACUCCUGACUGACCGAUAGUGAACCAGUACCGUGAGGGAAAGGCGAAAAGAACCCCGGCGAGGGGAGUGAAAAAGAACCUGAAACCGUGUACGUACAAGCAGUGGGAGC